CCAAACUUUUGCAUCCAAGAUAUAUGGGAAUGGUCCUCCAGACAGCUUUGCCUCCUCCUGCCGACAGAGAGAUGUCAACAGGAGGCAGACCUCCCUGCUAAUGCAGGACUGCCUUUUUAUUUUAGUUUAUUAUUUUUAUCUCCUUUUCAGGAGGGAAUCAGGGAUCACUGUGUCUCUCUGUUGGGCAAACUAUGUCAGCUUCAACACCUUUCCACCCUUUUACCCCAAGAAAACAAAGUGGAACAGAGCAGCCAUGGGAUCUACAGCUGGAUGCCAGUCACCGAAUGGGUGACCCUGCUGUUGGUUCACAUGGGGGAGAAGAAAUAAAAAGGACGAAGAUGGGGUGAGCAUUUUGGGAUUAGGUAUUCUCACCUACCCGACUAGACGGAUUCAACUUCCCAGCUUCAUGGCAAGAAUGCAGUAUCCUCAAAGCUUGCAUAGUAGACAUCCUAGUGCUGUGACGGCUAACCUCCGGCACUCCUGCUGUGGUAAAACUACAACUCCCAAGAUGCUUGGCUGUUCUCAGAACUCCAUAGAAAUGAAUGGAGCAUGCUGGGAGUCUUAGUUUCACCUCAGCUGGAGUGCCGGAGGUUCUAUUGAAACCAGUUUGCAUCUUCUGUACAUAUUUCUCCAACUCCCUCUCCUUCCUAAGAUCCUCCAGAGGAGCAAGUCAAAGAGCAUUCCAUCAAUACUGAUUGCUUUAGAAUAACUCUGCCGAUUGUGGUGCUCCAACGUUAUUCCACCCCUGGCUGACGUUCCCUGACAUGUUCCGCUCAGAGAUUACCUUCUCUCUCACAGGCCAGUCAUCCAUCAUCAUUUAGAGUCAGUAUGUUUAAUGGUUGUUGAAUCCUCAGUUGUAAAAAUCCCAUGGUGUGCCUAACAGCAAGGGCGGACUGGGAACAUAAAG